rnacentral:rRNA from 1 species
AUUGAACGCUGGCGGCAGGCCUAACACAUGCAAGUCGAACGAGUGGCGGACGGGUGAGUAAUGUCUGGGAAACUGCCCGAUGGAGGGGGAUAACUACUGGAAACGGUAGCUAAUACCGCAUACCAUCGGAUGUGCCCAGAUGGGAUUAGCUAGUAGGUGGGGGAAUGGCGCACCUAGGGGACGAUCCCUAGCUGGUCUGAGAGGAGUACCAGCAACACUGGAACUGAGACACGGUCCAGACUCCUCCGGGAGGCAGCAGUGGGGAAUAUUGCACAAUGGGCGCAAGCCUGAUGCAGCCAUGCCGCGUGUAUGAAGAAGGCCUUCGGGUUGUAAAGUACUUUCAGCGAGGAGGCGUUACUCGCAGAAGAAGCACCGGCUAACUCCGUGCCAGCAGCCGCGGUAAUAC